rnacentral:rRNA from 1 species
CACUUCUAAGGAAGGCAGCAGGCGCGCAAAUUACCCAAUCCUGAUUCAGGGAGGUAGUGACAAGAAAUAACAAUAAACCGGCUUAUGCCGGUUUAAUUGGAAUGAGUACAAUUUAAACAUCUUAACGAGGAACAAUUGGAGGGCAAGUCUGGUGCCAGCAGCCGCGGUAAUUCCAGCUCCAAUAGCGUAUACUAAAGUUGUUGCAGUUAAAAAGCUCGUAGUUGGAUUUCUGUGGGGACGGAGCGGCCGGCCGCAACUCGCGGUUCGAGCUAGCGCUUUCCCUACAUCCUGCCGCGAACCGUGCUACCAUUAGUUUGGUGGCGCCGGGGAUCGGCUCGAUUACUUUGAGAAAAAUAGAGUGUUCAAAGCAGGCCACACGCCUUGAAUAAGUUAGCAUGGAAUAAUAACUAAGGACUUCGGUUCUAUUUUGUUGGUGUUCGGGACUGAAGUAAUGAUUGAUAGGGACAGUUGGGGCGGUCUGUAUUCCAAAGCGAGAGGUGAAAUUCUUAGACCUUCGGAAGACAAACAGCUGCGAAAGCGUUCCGCAAGGAUGUUCCCUUUGAUCAAGAACGAAAGUUGGGGGAUCGAAGACGAUCAGAUACCGUCGUAGUCUCAACUAUAAACUAUACCAGCUAGGGAUCGGCCAACGUUAUUUAAACCGACUUGGUCGGCACCUUAUGAGAAAUCAAAGCAUCUGGGUUCCGGGGGGAGUAUGGUCGCAAGGCUGAAACUUAAAGGAAUUGACGGAAGGGCACCACCAGCCGUGGAGCCUGUGGCUUAAUUUGACUCAACACGGGAAAACUUACCAGGUCCAGACAUAGUAAGGAUUGACAGAUUGAUAGCUCUUUCUUGAUUCUGUGGGUGGUGGUGCGUGGCCGUUCUUAGUUGGUGGAGUGAUUUGUCUGGUUAAUUCCGUUAACGAACGAGACCCCAGCCUGCUAAAUAGCGCGCGUGAGCUUUGCUCGCGGCGAGCUUCUUAGAGGGACUAUGAUGCGCGAUAGCACAUGGAAGUUUGGGGCAAUAACAGGUCUGUGAUGCCCUUAGAUGUUCUGGGCCGCACACGGGCUACACUGGCGCCUGCAACGAGCAUAUCAGCUGGCCCGAGAGGGUCUUGGCUAAUCUUUUGAACCGGCGCCGUGCUUGGGAUUGACCUUUGCAAUUGUUGGUCAUGCAACGAGGAAUGCCUUGUAAACGCGAGUCAUCAGCUCGCAUUGAAUACGUCCCUGCCCUUUGUACACACCGCCCGUCGCUCCUACCGAUGAAUGUUCCGAUGAAAUUUUCGGAGAGUGCCUGUGAACUUGGCUCUGCCUUGCGAACGGGAAGCUCAAAGUCACUUAAAUCUGAACAUUUC